UACGUAGGCAGCAAGCGUUGUUCGGAGUUACUGGGCGUAAAGGGCGCGUAGGCGGUUCAGAAAGUCAGAUGUGAAAUUCCGGGGCUCAACCCCGGAGCUGCAUUUGAAACUUCUGAACUAGAGUGCAGUUAGGGUAAACGGAAUUCCACGUGUAGCGGUGAAAUGCGUAGAUAUGUGGAAGAACACCGGUGGUGAAGACGGUUUACUGGGCUGUAACAGACGCUGAGGCGCGAAAGCAAGGGGAGCAAACAGG
rnacentral:rRNA from 1 species